AAGAUGACUUGAAGACACAUUAACACAAAAUAAUAACUUCACAAAUUCCUUCAUGGGGAAAGUAAAAAACAAGGAUGAUAUGGAGCAGAAGAAAUAGUGCCAUGAACCAAAAAUGUGUAAGAAAAAUCCCAUCCAGAUUAAAAAUGUGGAACUACGACUAAAACCCAGAGAGAUGGAAGAUGUAACUACAACAAGAAAAGCUGCUAAGCAAGCAAAGAAAGUUAAGGACUGGUCAGAUAAUGAAGAAAUGAAGCUCAUGGAUUUUAGCUGAAGAAUCUAACCAACCUUCAUCAGAGGUUAGCACAGCAGUUUAACAACUUAUUGCAAACCACUUUUAUUGACAACAGGAUGACAAAUGGAAGAACACUACUGAUUAUGAAAGAUGAGGGGGGAAAGGAGCUGUUCCAGCAAAUUACUAUCCAAUUACCUGUUUGCCAACAAUGUUUAAAUUAUUAACUGGAAUAAUAGCUAGUUCAGUCCAGUCCCAUUUAAUUGAGAAUUCUCUUUAUCCCAAAGAGCAGAAAGCUAAUUGCCCCAAUUCUCAAGGAACAAAAGAUUGACUAUUAAUUGAUAAAAUGUUACUGAAACAAUAUAAAAGAUGACAACAAAUCUGUACAUAGCACCAAUUUACUACAAAAAGCAUUUGAUUCUUUGCCACAUACCUGCAUUGAAAAGUGCUUACUUUUUUAGGAAUCAGCAAAAACAUCAGAAAAUCCUAUUCAGUGUUAAUUAAAUUAUGGGGCCCUAUGUUAACAGUAAAUGAACAAUUCGGCAAAUUAAUAUUAUGUUUGACUUUUUUCAGGGUGACUCCUUGUCUUCUUUGGACUCAUUAUUGCAGUAGCACCACUCUCAGUAAUACUGAAGGGGAAAAAAAUCAAGGAUAUGAAAUAUCAAAUUAAGCGGUUAUGAGUAAAUCAACAGGUGGGCAAGAGCUAUAGAAUCUUUGCAUUCCAGUAUUUGAAAAGAGCCACACAACAUCUACAUCCAUUUUUGAUGUAGCACAUCUGGGGAAGAAGCAAAAGCAGCAGAAAGCCAAAGAAAGGCGGUGUGGUGCCAGAACUUAAAGGUUAUUCUGUGUCAAGGCUACAGCAUGUCAAGACUUUGAAUUCUGUAUCUUGUAUUGUAUCAGAAAAAAUAUUGUCACCUCUCAUUGUAACCAUUCACUCAAGGCUGUCACGAUGCAUUUUCGUACAUAGCAGUGGAGUGGUUUAAUAGUGAAUCUUUGACACACUUUAUGUGUAGCCACCACAAAUAAAUGUAUUGUAUACUACAGACACAGUACCAACCCCCAUUCAAUAAUUACUGAGAAUAUACCAAGUGUUUUCCCUAUCUGCUCCUGUUUUGACAUCAAUAUUUCAAACAUAUGAUUAUGUGUUCUUGGGAAAGAUAGAUAGAUUCCAGCAAAUUGGGAACCCUGAAAUGAACAGAAUAACAUCAUAAAGCUAGAUGUGAGGACACAAGGGAAAGCAAAAAAUGUCAAUGAGAAACAGACAAUGCCUUUUGGAUUAGUCACAUAAUUGAUGCCCACUGGUCAGGGCUCACUCACUGAAAGUGAUGAAGUCCCCUUGAUAUGUCCAUCUUCAGUGAGGAAAUCACUAAGAGUAAGUGAAGCAGGGAGGGAGAGGGGGAAAGGACCACGGCAUCAUUUAUGUGAUCAUUUUUAUAACUACAGUAGAGUCUCACUUAUCCAACAUAAACGGGCCGGCAGAAUGUUGGAUAAGCGAAUAUGUUGGAUAAUAAGGAGGGAUUAAGGAAAAGCCUAUUAAACAUCAAAAUAGGUUAUGAUUUUACAAAUGAAGCACCAAAACAUCAUGUUAUACAACAACUUUGACAGAAAAAGUAGUUCAAUUAGCAGUAGUGCUAUGUUGUAAUUACUGUAUUUACGAAUUUAGCACCAAAAUAUCACGAUUUAUUGAAAACAUUGACUACAAAAAUGCGUUGGAUAAUCCAGAACGUUGGAUAAGCGAGUGUUGGAUAAGUGAGACUCUACUGUACUACCAAAAAAUAAUUGAAAGUUGAAACAUUUUUAAACACUGUUCAAAAUGUUACUGAAAGACAGUUUAUAGUUCACUUCACUAUUUCUACUAAUUAUCCAAAACCAUCAUAAGAUGUUUUGUUGUGCGACAUAAAGGACAAAAGGGAACCAAUUCAUCUAGCUCCAUUCCAUGAACAAAAGCAAUUUCAACCAUAAGUUUAAUUUGCUGGUUUAACUGCUAGUAAGAGGACAGCAUCUUCAACACAGAAGUGCAGCUAGGAAGAUUUAGCAGAGGCCCUAAUGUGCUGUAUUCUUCUUAUGGAAUGUCUUCUCACCCAUUCUACAUUCUGCUUUUGUGGAAUCAGACAGGUACUGUACUGACAUCACAAUUUUAUAUCAAGUAACUCAAGAUAGGCUGUUAGGAAUUGUGGAAGUUGAAGUACAAAACACUUGGAGGGCUGAAUUUUGCCCAUGUCUGCUCUAACAGAUGCACCAUGUUUAUGUCAAUUCUGACCACCAUCACGGAAGGUAUGGAAGAAAAAAAAUCUUAAUAUUUAUAAACUGCAAUGCAACUGUUGCCCUUCAGGUGGUUUUGGACUAGAGUUCCCACAAUCCUUCUUUUUGGCUAUUCUGCUGAAGGUUGCUGGGAACGAUAUUCCCCCAAACAUCUGAAAGCUUCAGUUGCUCGCUAUACAUACACUACAGCUAUUUUUCCAAUUUUUUCAGAUUCUACCCCUUCAGAAAGAUUAAGUAUGUGUAAUCUUCAUUAGGUUCUUCCUUAAAACAUUGCAUACUUUCUAAAAUACAACAGUCUUUACUUACAGAAGAUAUAGGUAUGCUUAUAUUUGAAAUCUUCAUGAUUUAGCCACUCAGAAGGGGUUUGUUGGUCUUCUGGUUGUUUCCAGCUUAUGUUGAUCCUAAACUAAACUAAACAUUUUUUUUCUCCUUCGAAAGAUUUUUUCAGAAGAGAUUUGCCACUCCCUUCCUCCAAAACUGGAAGAGUAUGACUUGCCUAAAGUUAUACAGUGGAUUUCCUUGACUGUGCACAGGUGUGCAACUCGGUCUUCCAGCAUCUACUUCAACAUUCCAACAAUUACUAAGCAUGAUUCAACUGAAGGAGGAGAAAGAUGGUAGUUGUUACAUGCCUUUGAGGCAACUCUGCACUAUGUUGACCCUACUUCUUAAGAAGAUUUGUUCAGACAGGGGUUGCCAUGGCCUUCUUCUUUGACUGAGAGUGAGACUCAUCCAAGUUCACCCAGUGGUGUUUCACAGCUGAGCCCUUUACGUGAAACAUGUUUUCCCAGAGUCCUAGUCCAGCAUUCAAACCACUGCACCAUACUAGCUAUAGAAGAACAUUUACAACCAUUUAUUGUUUACAAUUAAUGUAGAGGAAUAACGGUUGAGAUGUUCUGAAGUAAAAUGUGAGUUGGAAAAAAAAGCCCUAAACCCAAUCCAAUUUCUGAAACCCCAAAACAGGAUUGAAACACAAACUAGCCUUUGGUGCACAAUCCUAUUUCACAUUCUUCAGAAAUAUUUUGAAUGACGGUAUUUCAUUUCAUUGCUAAUGACAAGGCAAUAGCAAUAGCAAUGUGCAUGCAAAUUUAUGCGUGUACUGUGUACUGAUUUGCUCAUUCAUCAGGGGCUUUAUAGGCAAGUUUAAAUUAGCUUUCUGCUCCUGGUACACUGAAUGUAUCAUCUCCUUGAGGAUAAAAAUAGAAAGGUGACAAACAAUAUAGCUACUCUGUUGGCCUGCUACAUAAUAGUUUCCUUGAGGUUAUUAACUUUUGGAUGGCUUUAAAUUGAGGUUUAAGAGAUACCUUGUAAGAAAAGGAAAUGAACUAAUAUCUCGAUUGUAAAAUUACUGUUUUAGGUCAAGCAAAGUACUAAGUUUGAUAACAUGAUUUAAUAUGACAAUAAUGGUACAUUAAGGCUUUAUGAGAUUUUUAACUUGAUAUUAUAUUCUGUCUGCUAACAUAUCAAUCUACAGCCAUUCAGAGAGAAAGAGAGAGAGAAAUUACAUUUUCCUUGUGAACACUCAGGGUAAAAUUCCCCUCUUUGAUCUGCUCUGUGGGAGUCCUUCCUACAAUCCCAUGAGUUUAGUCAUUCUAAUAAUGCACUUAGGGAUGCUUAUUAAACUUUAAAGUUGUAGUGGCAGCAGGACAUAGUGCCACAAUUUCUGGAUCACAUUGCACCAUAGAAGCAGGGUGAAUUAACUCAUUGUACCUGGUGGAAUACUUCAGCUGAUUCUGAAAAACCUCAGAGAAUGAAAACGGGGACAAACGAGAGUGCCCAAGAGUAAAAGCCCUCAAUGGGUUUCCAAGAGCACAAUAGGGUUACAUUUGUUACAUUUACAAAAUACCCAAUAUGUCGUGUUCUCAUGUUGCUCAGUGGUGUUCUUCUUUAGGAAAGAGGUUGUUUGAAAAUGCCUUUUUCAAAUUGCCAUCCCAAUAAGCUUGCCAGUCAUUCUCUUCAAAAUGACAUGCCCUUGAAUGACCCCCCAUUAGGAAAGUGUGGAAUGAUUCUAGUGAGUUAGUACACUAAAGGUAAGGCAAAGAAAUGUGAGGGGAAAGAGUUCCAUAUUUUAAAUCAGUUGUCAAAAUGGAAAAUGAUCAUGAAUUAUAGACUUCCUUACUUCUUUGUUUAAAAAGUGAUUGGUAAGUAAUUAAAUGAUGGAUUUUGGAAUUUUCUGGGAACUGGGAGGGAAAAUCCAGAAUACAUAUACGCCAUUUCACAUAAGUGCACAGUGAGAUACACAGCACAUCUACAUUAUAAAAUUAAAGCAAUUUGAGACCACUUUAACUGCCAUUUCUCAAUGCUAAGGGCUCAUGAGAAUUACAGGUUUAGACUUCUUUGCCAAAGAAUGCCAGUUCCUCACCAAACUACUAAUCCCAUUAUGUCAUAGUAACUCUACAGUGUAGAUUAUCUAAUGAAUACAUUCCCUUUUCAGUACUCCUACUCCUAAGGUUUGGAGAAUACUUUGGGUUCCAUAUUAGGCAAAAAAUGGUAGGUAAAUAAAAUAAAAUAAUAAACUGUUGAACUCAUCUUCUGGAAAUCCAUUCAAACGCAAUCAAUGGAAGAAUAUACUAGAACACUGCUUUAAAAAGUGUAUGAUGGAAUGAUUGAAAUACUUUGUAUAUUUUGAAAUUACAGGUCAAGCAUUCCUUCUCAGGAAAUCCAAAACUGAAAUACAGUAGAGCCCCACUUAUCCGCCUUUGCCACCCUCCCUCACUCUCGCUCAUUCACUCACUCACCGGGCUGGGUCCUGGUUCUACACUUGCUGCUGGGAGGCGGCCCAGUGAGUGACCCAAUGAGCGAGGGAGGGUGAGGGGAAGCAAAGGAGCAGUGGCAACACUGCCCCCGCCGCUUGUCUUCUUCCUCCUCCUCUCCCUCCAGAGCCAGCCUGCUGGAGGAAGAGGACAAGUGAGGCUUGGAUGGUGCCCCGCCACCAUUCCUCGCAAUCCCUCUCCUCUUCUGCGUGUGUAAAUCUUUGCUUAUUUUGUUCUCACAUCAGGCAAUUAAAAAUUUCAAACAUUUUCUUCACACUCAUCAAAAUUACAAUAUAGUAUAUUUGUGGCAAAAAUGUUCAAAAACGUUUUUAAACCAAGCAUAUAGAUUUUAUACAAUAAAAGGCUUUUUGCCACCCAGCUUUCUUUUUUGUGCAGAACUUGGUCUGACAUCUUAAUAAAUGACUUACAGUCAUGUAAGUUAAAAUAUUAUCAUUUAUAAGCCAUUGCAGAAGUUGAUUUUUUUUUAGUGUCAUCACACAAUUACACAAAUGGCCCAACUUGCUUUUCAGCGGCUUUAGCCCUCACUCAAUGGUGAUUCAGUGACAGUUGGGGAAUCGAGGAUAUCUGUCCUAUAGUCACAUGGAAAACAAUGACAUUAUGCUGUGGCGCAAGCUGGUGAGCAGCUAGCUGAGACCAAUCACUCUGACCAAGAGGUCAUGAGUUCGAGGCCAGCUUGGAGCCUGCAUUUGUCUUGUCUUUGUUCUAUGUCAAGGCAUUGAAUGUUUGCCUAUAUGUGUAAUGUGAUCCGCCCUGAGUCCCCUUCGGGGUGAGAAGGGCAGAAUAUAAAUGCUGUAAAUAAAUAAUAAAUAAAUUAUUCAUUAGAGAA